rnacentral:lncRNA from 1 species
AAUGGGCGUAUGACAUUUGCGCCGAUUUUGAAAAUUUCCAUUCUUUCAUUUGCGCCGAUUUCAUUUUUUCAUUUGCGCCGAUUUUAUAAUUUCUCCUAAUUGGAUUUACAGGUAAAAAUAAGUUAAUACUUUUACAUGUACUAUAACUUGAAGGUUUAUUGGUAUAUCUGAUUAUAAACGUUGUUCAAUUAUGUUAAAUAGAUAUAGGAAGAUGUGGUAUGAAUGCAAAUGAGACAAUUCUCCAUCCAAGCUGAUUGGAAGACUAUUUAUGAAAGUAAACCAUUUUUAAGUUUAUUUUGAUUCUAAUUGUUCUGGAAAUUCGUUGUAACACGAUGGACAUAUUGUAACGACCCGAUGAGUCAAUUCUUUAAUCUUCGACAGCCAUACAUAUCGGAGGGUCAGUGUCCAGAAAAAUAACAUAUCUU